CAAAGACGUGCAGCUCUGUUGAAACUCCUCUCAACAUGAAACAAAACAACACUCAGACUCAGGAUGCACAGGAGAGUCAUGCAAACAGAUGUCCUUUAGUGGAGGACAGAGCAGAAGACAACAUUCAGACUGUAGUAACUGUUUAUGCUGAUGAAAGGUUAUUCUGAAGAUCAGGAAGGUUUGUUGCAAACAUCAGCCGAGCAACCUGAAAAGCCACAAGAUGACGAGUCUUUGAAUGUGAGCAGUGUGGAAAGGCCUUUUUCUGUAGUUCACCACAAAUGUAUGCAUUCGGUCAUAAAGCUGCACUGCUGUGAAAAAUGUGGGAAGAAGUUCUCACAAGUAAGAGCGCUAGAGACACAUCUCUGCAAACAUAUACAGAAAUUUGAGUUAUUUCCCUGCACUACUCGUGGAAAAAGCUUUAGAGACCUUGCAGCGCAUGAACGGGUCCAUGCGGAAGUCAAACUAUUUACCUGUGAUAUAUAUUCGGACAGUGAUAGACAGUUAGUGACAAAGUGUGCCAUAUAUAUAUCAGAUAUAUGUAAGAUUUAUAUUAUCAUGAUACAUUCACGAAGUACAAAUUCAUAUGUUGGCAUGGUUAUGGAAAACCUGCAAAUAUGAGGGAAUUUGAAAUGUGAUUUAUUAUAAAUCAUUAUUGUUAUAAUUAAUACUGCCUUCAGUCAUAAA